rnacentral:tRNA from 1 species
GGAGAGAUGGCUGAGCGGCUGAAGGCACACGCUUGGAAAGCGUGCGUAGUGUAACAGCUACCGGGGGUUCGAAUCCCCCUCUCUCCGCCA